GAGUCUGCUACUGAUCAUCUUCUUCUGCUUUUGGGUCACAUUUCCCUGCCCCUCUGUAAGAUUUAUAAUGUUUUUCCUGCUUCUUGGUGGACACCAUGGAUAGCACAUGGGAUCAUCUUUUUCGGAAGAGCAUUCUGUUCUACCAGGUGGUAAAUUCCCAGAAACCUCGUCGUGAGCCUGAAGAAGAGAAGAAUUCAUUUUAACAUCUUUUGGAGGGGACAUCUGUUGACAAGAAAUUCCUUCAUUUUUAUAUGAGACAUUUUUAAUUCUCCUUCACUUUUGAAGAAGAAUUUCUCUGGGAACAGAAUUAUAGGACGGUCCUCAAGCUUUUGGAAAUGUCAUGGUGAGUUGUCUUGGAAAGCUCUGAGUGCACUUGGAGGCCAUAUUUCCUGUGAAAACGUGAGCAACGCUGGCAGGUGCAAGUGUCGAUGAUCUGACCGUGGAGUUGCUAGUCAGCCCUUGUACUUAUGAACCCAGAUUUAACUGAGAUGCUUACUCACCUCCAUGAAGCCUUGGAAUUAAAGCAAACU